UUUGACCUCGGCAAACAAGCUAAGCCCCGUGUUUAUGUCUCUGUAUCCAAUCAGAGAACAACGGGAGCAUCUGAUUGGCUGUCCAAAACCCUUGUGACACGAGCCUGUCGGAGCCAUCUUUAGUGUGGGACUGCCAGUACAUGUGACUGCGCAUGCUCCUCCCUUUCAAGGAGAAAAACGCCUGAAAGAAAGUCGCGCGGGGGGACGCGAAAAGUGUUUUCUUCUUCCUAGGGGGGCAUGACAGAAAAUAAUUGAGAAGCACUGGCCUAGAGGAACGUUGUCCAUGGGAUCGCGAUGAGUCAGACAUGAUUUCGCAACUAACAACAACAGCAACCCUCUGUACUCAUUGGUGAUGCAAUAAAUGGCAUAUUCCCAUAGUGGCAUCUGCCUAGCAGGAUAGCUUUAGACCAGUGGUUCACAAGCUCAGUAAAGUGAAGUUGUGUGGAAUUUUGCUCCCAGAAUUCCCUAUCCAACAUUUUUCAGUUAGGCUGCUACAAGCUUCAAGAGCUGCUUGUCUACCCCUCAACCCCAGUUCAUCCAGAGAAGGUGAGAGUCCAACAUACAAUUAACUGCAGAGGGCAAAACUAAUCAUUGUGUCCUGUUCCUUCUGAGUGAUGAGGUUAAGGUGGGAUGCUGUCCUUAUUGUUUGAUGCUGGACAAGUUAAAGCAAUUGGCAGAUGCCUUAAUUUGCCCUCCCACCAAAGGUCAUCAGCCAGCAGCAAAAAUAUGCAUUAAAGUGGGCUGGGGAAGAGACAAGUUUUGAUAAUCGCUCAGAGGGACAGGUUUUGGUCAAAUGUCCCUCUGGUUCUGCACAAAUAUUUUGCAAAGUAAGCUAUUGCGCUUAUCUGUUGAUUUAAGGACUGGAGGAAAGCAUCUUUGAAGAAAGACACAUAGAGGCAAAAGUGAUCUCACUUAAUAUUAGCAUCUUUUUUUACCCUGGAAUCAGAUUAUGUAUUUUCUUUUUCUUUUAUUACUAAUGUUGCAAGACUAAUUAAUAAACUAUUCUAUUAUAUAGUAAAUGAUCAAAAUUUUAGAGGCAUGCAACUGAAUCACAGAGUCCGUCUAGAUUUUAUUUUUUUUUGGUAGUUUAAAGCAAAUUGGUGCCCUUCCCUUUUCCAUCCUUCCAGUUUAGCAUUCACCUAGUGAAGAUUUCUUGGGAAAUCAAAAGCCUCCUCACUCCUUUGUUACUUCUUAGCUUAAUGAUUGUAACUUUCCUCUUCUUCCAAGAAAGCCUUCCUUUGCUGCUCUUAAAAUUCGGACACACCUUGAAUUUUAAUUUGCUGCCUUACAUGCUGCACUGAAUGGAAAUUCUGUCCUUCACGUACAAACCAGGCAUUAGUAUGCCAACUCUAAAUACUGACUCGAUAGUAAUUUACUGCAGGUCAUAUUAGGAAAAAUGAGAUAAAGCCAUUUUAAACUCUUAAAACCAUCAGUCUUUCGCUUGGCUUUUAUUUGUGUGUGAGCAGGUGGUUUUUUUUUUAAAAAAAAAGCAGGACAAAAAAGGCUGAAUAUCAGUAUGCAACAAAGGGCCAAUUGUUAGAUAGCAUUACGGGAGGAAGUCAAAUGUAUUUGUUCUACUGAGUCAGCACAGCUCAGGAUACUUUUCCAAAAGAAUGUAAACACCCGUAUUCUUGUUUAUAAAGCACACAAUCCUCUUGUGAGAAGCUUUGUCUUUAGGGUCAGGGUGCUUUAAACUGGGCUGAUCUUGAUCCAGGGCAUCUAUUUUUAUCCUGUCAUAAGUUGCUUUCGCUUCUCAUAUAGAGAUUCUAUAUGGCAAUUAUUGGGAGCAAUUUAACGAAUGCCUGUGUGCAAAAUCUUAGCAUUUUUAACUAGCAGAAUAUCACAUUAGCAGAAACUAUUUUCUUUUUAAGCAAGGGAUUUCCUGUGCUUGAAACAAAAGCAGAAAUGUCUGCCAGUGGCACUAGAAAUAGAUUGACAAAAUUCUUCUAAGUAUUCUGAGGUUACUUUCAUGGGUAUUGAGAGCAAAGGGCAGCAAAUGAUACCUACAUGAUAAUCUCAUCAUAUAAAUACUGUGGUUUACCAUAUAUAAUUAUGCCAGAUGUUGGGACAGGGGAAGUAAGGAUAGUACAGUAUUUGACGACAAAUCAUGUGUCAUGAUUUUGCAUCUUUAUGGUUUGCUGAAGACUUCAUAGUUACUUUUUAAUUGCAGGAAAUAAAUCUUGGGUUUUAAGUAAAGUCACUGAACUUUCUUUAGUUGUUAGCUCUUUAAAAGACAGCUAAAUUCACUCUCCAACCUAAGUGUUAGCUUGUUUUUAGCUUUGCUCAUUCAACCACCAGAGGUUUUAUGUGUGUGUCUAUACAUAUAUAUCAAUCUAGGUCAAAAGUUACAAUUUACAAACCAAAAAAUGAAUUGGGCCAAAAUCAAAUAUAUCAUGUUAUGGUUUAUGCCAACCCAAUUACAUGCAGUAUGUGUAUAAAAUGAACUGAACGUGUAAGCUGUUUUAACCACAGUAUUGCUUGUUGAACAAGCCACAGUUGGCUGGAUUUAUGCAUCAUGCUCCAGUAAAAUCAAACAAACGAUAUAAUGCAUGAUGCAUAUGAUGUAUGAAUCCAGUCUAACUAUGGUACUAUACUUUGGAAAUGCAGAAAAAUGGUGCCUGGGUGUCUGUGAAAGAGAAACAGGACAGAGGUCAUUUUUUCUGGAAGACUAGAUAGUCUGCACAGAUUAUUUUCCAGUUAGAAGAGCUGCCAAAGGGUGGGAUGGUUGCUGAUUGGCAGAACUACUUUUAUUCCUUUAGCCAUACUCUCUAUAUCUUUGAACCUGCCACAUCUAACCUGCAAAAUUCCAGACCACUAUUAAAUAUGCCAGCAGAUACAUUGCCCACCCCCAUUUCAUUGCCCAUGUAAUGGCCAUCUAGUUCUGCAGCCCCAAUCAGAUCGGCUCCAUUUUGUUUGUUUUUUCUUUAACAUUGUACAUUGAAUGUCCCCUGUGAUUUGUACAAUCCAUAGGAAAAAUCCUAUGCUAAUGUUAAUAUGUGAUGUUAAUUCUUUCUAAAAUGUGAAUUCAUCAAGUGGCAAAGGGUGAAAGGAGGUGUUUAAAAAACCCUCUCCCCUCUGGUCAAAUGAUCUACAACAGGGGUGUCAAACUGGCAGCCCAGGUGUUCUGUCCCCCUCCCCACCUCACAAAUAAGAACGCAUGAGCGAGUGUCUAACAGUCAUUUAAUUUACAACCGACCUGAAGUUCUUUUUGCGGAUAAAAGACUUGGCAGCUGCAGUUCAAAGGCCUGCCAAGUUACUUAUCACUUGGCAGAGACAGGAGUCCACGUGUCAGAAGCCGUUUCCGUGGCAGCCAAGAGUUCACAGAAUAAUUCCUUCACACAGUCCAGGCCUUAACUCAAAAACAACCGAUCCGAAGUUCACGCUUCGUAGUUUUGUCCGUCACAGGGGCUACGGAGCCACUCCGCCCACUUUUAUCCCCUGUGGGGUAUGACUCAGUGACUCAGCACUCUCUGGGCCUGCCACACCUCUUCCUUUGCUGUGCCCGCUUCUCCUUCCUACGCUGUCUGGGAUCAAUACAGGAUUGAUCCUCCUCACUCUCUGACGGUGGGGGCUCUGACACACUUUCUUCCUGGCCUUCUGCUGGCACCUGAGGUAUUGCCAGAAAGGAGGGACCUGGAGAGGGAGGCCUUGUCGGCUCCUCUCCCUCAGAGUCAUCCUCCUCCAUGAAGACAGGCUCGGGAGCCGGAGUCACAACACCAGGGGCCGGAUGCGUCACGUGCAGACCACACCCACCCCAGCUCCAUGAAUGGGGAAAAUGCCAUGAAACAUCCCAUGACGGCAAUGUGACAUGAUAAUUUUCACAGAAUCAUAGAAUGGAAGAAAUGGAAAGAACAUUGGAAAUUAUCUACUCCAAUCUCCUGGCAUUUUUUCUUCUUGCUGCUUAAAAUACGGUGACAAAAACCUCCACAUAAUCAAUUAACAUAGCCAUUUUCCUGUGAUGCAAGUUUUAAGAACAUAAAAGCCCUACAGGAGUCUAAACAUCUUUUUUACAUCGUGGCGACCAAAACUGGAUGCAAUAUUUCAAGGGUGGCCUUACCAAGGCAUUAUAAAGUGGCACUAACACUUCACGUGAUCUUGAUUCUAUCCCUCUGUUUAUGCAGCCCAGAAUUGUGUUGGCAUUUUUGGCAGCUGCUGCACACUGUUGGCUCAUAUCUAAAUGGUUAUCCAUUAGGACUCCAAGAUCCCUCUCACAGAUAGCGCCCAAUGUUCAAGUCUGUCAAGAUCUUUCUGUAUCUUGAGCCUAUCUUCUGGAGUGUUGGCUAUUCCUGCCAGCUUGGUGUCGUCUGCAAAUUUGAUGAGUUCCCCAUCUAUCCCCUCGUCCAAGUCAUUGAAGAAGGAUUGGUGAAGGAGAAGAAGGAUUGCUGUAAAAAGGAAAAGAUGAAAUGGAAGAAAGACAAUCCCGAACAUAUUUGAAUAUAUUAGGUUAAAAAAUUGAAACAGUUAAACAAGAAUGAAAAGAGAAUGAAUAUUAAUAAAAAUGGAGAAAUUAGAACUUGAGGGCGAAAGAAGAUGUGACUUAUGGAAAUGAGCAAGGAAAUAUUAGGAUAUGGAUAUCAGAGGGAAUUUUUACUUCGUUUUUACUUUGCUGUAAACCGCCCUGAGUCCUUCGGGAGAAGGGCGGUAUAGAAAUCAAAAUAAUAAAAUAAUAAAAUAAAAUUUCCAUCUUGGUGAAGAAUUUUGAAAUCAAUUAAGUGUGAGAAUGCCAUUGAAGCUAUGAAAAUACAUUAUUUUGCAAUUUGAAACACACACACACACACAAAGCAGAGCAAAAUUUAAGUAAAAGGUUGAUUGCAAGAUUUUCUCAUGACUAGCUUCAUCAUAGCUGAGUUACCCAAUUAGCUCAGUAUUUUUAUAACUUCAUGUGAUACUAUGAAUCAUCAGCAUACAGUAUAGGCUACUUUGACACAGCCUAUACUAAAUUUGAGAGCCAAGGCAUGGAAGGGAUUGUAGAGGACGUUUUACCAAACUCCCUGGCCAGUGAAAGAAUCCAGUACAGGUAAUCAUUACUUAAUAACCACAAUUGAGACCGGCAAUUCUAUUGCUAAGUGAUGUAGACAUCAAAUAAAACAUCACGCAACCAUGCCAGAAUCAUGAGUGACUUACCAUUGAGUCAUUAAGCAAAUCACCCACAGUUGUUAAAUGAAACAUCAGAUGACUAUAACUUAACAUUUUACUGCUGGCUUCUCCAUUGAAUUGCUUGUCAGAAACCAACUGUGAAGCUUGCAGAUGGGGGUCAUGUGGUGUUGUGGUAAUUGUAAGUUCAAAGAGAAAUCAUAAAAGUCACUUUUUCUCAGCUCUUGUGACUUUGAACAGUUGUUAAACUGGGUAGUUGUUAACUGAGGAUUUAUUGUACUAUAAGUUGGGUGGCUCUUCAAACUGCCAUCUUCCAAAGCAGUGUUGCAUUGCUAAAUAGUACUUACCAUAGGAAUAUUUUCUUGAUAUCAGGAGAUGUUUGCUCCAUGGAAUUAAAACCUCUUGUUUCUGACCUUAAGGUCAUGACCCCAGUAUUCUCGAGGCUCAAUAUAAUUGACGCUAAUCUUUCCUCAUAAGUUUUUCAAACCAGGUUCCUGGCCAUCUUUGACAGGACACUCUCCAAUUUGUAAGUAUGAAUGACCUUCCUAAAAUGACCUUCCUUACAAUUGGAUGUAAUAUUCCAGGUGCUAAAUGAUAAUAAUAGAUAGGAAUGAUGUUGUUCAAUGUUCGUGCAAACAUUGCCCAAAAAUGAUUCUGGAUAUUUGCUACCAUCUUUACUAAUGACAUAUCAACCAACCAUAUCAUUAAUUAUGUAAUGGAUAGUUUGUUUCACAGAAUCAAUUGUAUAAAUGCUGCUUUACUGUCACUUUGCUUCUUUGCAAGCUUAUGCUAUUUCAUAUAUUGUAUAUAUUGUAAUCAUUGGUUUGGCUUAGUUAGGUAGCAUUCUUCUCCUUCUGAGUUUGUUUAUUAACCACUAUAAUCCUUGUAAAUGUGGGUCAAUUGUAAAUACUGUAAAAUAAAUAAUAUUUGGUUUAUACAAAAUAGGAAACAUUACAAACAAAUAUAUGAAACAAAAC